rnacentral:rRNA from 1 species
UACGGAGGGUGCGAGCGUUGUCCGGAAUCACUGGGCGUAAAGGGCGCGUAGGCGGCCUGGCAAGUCGAUGGUGAAAGCCCGAGGCUCAACUUCGGGUCGGCCACUGAUACUGCUGGGCUUGAGUCGACUAGAGGCAGAUGGAAUUCCGGGUGUAGCGGUGGAAUGCGUAGAGAUCCGGAAGAACACCGGUGGCGAAGGCGGUCUGCUGGGGUCGAACUGACGCUGAGACGCGAAAGCGUGGGGAGCAAACAGG